AUUGAACGCUGGCGGCAGGCUUAACACAUGCAAGUCGAACGAGUGGAGGACGGGUGGGUAAUGCUUGGGAAUCUGGCUUAUGGAGGGGGAUAACGACGGGAAACUGUCGCUAAUACCGCGUACCAUAGGAUGAGCCCAAGUGGGAUUAGUUAGUUGGUGGGGUAAUGGCCUACCAAGCCGACGAUCUCUAGCUGGUCUGCGAGGAUGACAGGCCAAACCGGGACUGAGAAACGGCCCGGACUCCUACGGGAGGCAGCAGUGGGGAAGAUGGCGCAAUUGGGGCAACCUGACGCAGCCAUGCCGCUGGAAUGAAGAAGGCCUUCGGGUUGUAAAGUUCUUUCAGUGACGAGGCGUUAAACACCGAAGAAGCACUGGCUAACUCAGUGCCAGCAGCCGCGGUAAUUC
rnacentral:rRNA from 1 species